UACGGGGGGGGCAAGCGUUGUUCGGAAUUACUGGGCGUAAAGGGUUUGUAGGUGGCUUGUUAAGUCAGACGUGAAAUCCCUCAGCUUAACUGGGGAACUGCGUCUGAUACUGGCGAGCUUGAGUGCAGGAGAGGAACGCGGAAUUCCAGGUGUAGCGGUGAAAUGCGUAGAUAUCAGGAGGAACACCGGUGGCGAAGGCGGCUACCUGGACAGAGUCUGACGCUGAGGCACGAAAGCUAGGGGAGCAAACAGG
rnacentral:rRNA from 1 species